rnacentral:rRNA from 1 species
UACGUAGGUGGCAAGCGUUAUCCGGAAUUAUUGGGCGUAAAGCGCGCGCAGGCGGUUUCUUAAGUCUGAUGUGAAAGCCCACGGCUCAACCGUGGAGGGUCAUUGGAAACUGGGGAACUUGAGUGCAGAAGAGAAAAGCGGAAUUCCCGGUGUAGUGGUGGAAUGCGUAGAUAUCGGGAGGAACACCAGUGGCGAAGGCGGCUACCUGGACCGGUUCUGACACUGAGGCACGAAAGCUGGGGGAGCAAACAGG